UUAAUUUGGGUAAUCGGAUUUCGGUUCGGGUCGGUUCGGUAAUCGGAACCGAUCGGUUUACCUAGAACCGAGAAUCUGCAGCCAUAUAUAAGGAUAUUGAGUCAUUUACCCUAAUUUGGUUUCAUUUUCUUCUGCGCCUCUGCGCCUCUGCCUCUAUCAAAACUAAAGCCGAGUUCAUCUUCUUCUCCAACCUAAGCCAUUAUCAGCACCACGUUUCUUUUUCUUCAUCAAUUGUUGUUAGCUCUUCUUCUUUCUUCACCCGUAACCACAAUUUUUUUUGCGAUAAGCUCUUUUUCUCUUUUUUCUCUUCUGAUUCUUUGUUGUUUACUCGCUAAACUCGUUUUCAUCACCAAACUCACGGCUGGAUUCAUUGAUUUUCUUGCAGUUGGCAAAUAACAAGCUUUAUCAGACGUAAAGAUCUGACAUCAUCGUCAUCGUGGCUGCCUCGCCGUCGCUGCCUCGCCCUCGCCGUCGUUGCCUCGCCCUUGCCGUCGAUGUGGCUGCCUCGUGAAAACCCUAAUUUUUAAUGGGUUGGGCCUUGUAAAUAUAUUAAUUGGGUUUGUAAAUUUGUUAAUGCAUUUUGAUUAUGUAAUGAGUUGGGCUUUGUUUUCAGCCCAAUAUCCCUUUUUUUUGUAAUUCGGUUCAAAUUAACCGAAAUAGAAAACUAUCGGUUUAAUUUCGGAAUUAAUUUUAAACCC